AGUGAACGCUGGCGGCAUGCCUAACACAUGCAAGUCGAACGCAUUUUGACAGUUUAUCGUCAGGGUGAGUGGCAAACGGGUGAGUAAUACGUGGACAAUCUUCCCUCGAGCGGGGAACAACUCCGGGAAACCGGAGCUAAUACCGCGUGAGACCACGUCCUGGCAUCAGGAUGAGGUUAAAGCUCCGCAAGGGGCGCUUGAGGAGGGGUUCACGGCCUAUCAGCUAGUUGGCGGGGUUAAAGCCCACCAAGGCGACGACGGGUAACCGGUCUGAAAGGACGACCGGUCACAAUGGCACCGAGACACGGGCCAUACUCCUACGGGAGGCAGCAGUGGGGAAUUUUGCGCAAUGGGGGAAACCCUGACGCAGCGAUGCCGCGUGGAGGACGAAGGCCCUAGGGUCGUAAACCGGCUUUCAGUAGGGACGAAAAUGACGGUACCUGCAGAAGAAGCUCCGGCCAACUACGUG
rnacentral:rRNA from 1 species